CAUUACAAGUGACCCCGGUCUUACCACCGGGAUGUUCAUAACCCUUUGUUGUCCGACUCUGUUGCCUCCGGGGCGACCCUGCCUUCGGGCGGGGGCUCCGGGUGGACACUUCAAACUCUUGCGUAACUUUGCAGUCUGAGUAAACUUAAUUAAUAAAUUAAAACUUUUAACAACGGAUCUCUUGGUUCUGGCAUCGAUGAAGAACGCAGCGAAAUGCGAUAAGUAAUGUGAAUUGCAGAAUUCAGUGAAUCAUCGAAUCUUUGAACGCACAUUGCGCCCCCUGGUAUUCCGGGGGGCAUGCCUGUUCGAGCGUCAUUUCACCACUCAAGCCUCGCUUGGUAUUGGGCAACGCGGUCCGCCGCGUGCCUCAAAUCGACCGGCUGGGUCUUCUGUCCCCUAAGCGUUGUGGAAACUAUUCGCUAAAGGGUGUUCGGGAGGCUACGCCGUAAAACAACCCCAUUUCUAAGGUUGACCUCGGAUCAGGUAGGGAUACCC
rnacentral:rRNA from 1 species